CUAAACCCGACAAAAGUGCUUAUUUUCCAAAAGCUAUUUUUUUCUCUCAUCUUCCUCACAUAACAACAACAAUACACUCAAAUUCUUCAUCUAGUUUUUCAGAAAAAAUUGAUAAAACAAACAACCAACAAUCAGAUUCCGUUUUUGACUUGGAAUUGUUUCAAUUUCGGUUUCGCGGUUCUAUUUGAGCUUCACGGCUAUGUUUGGUAUUCGCGAAGGUUUUUUGUUCAGAAACCAGUUCUGUUUUGCUUCGAGUUUGGAGGUUUCGACUCAGUGCGGAGUUUGAAUUCGAGCGGAGCUUUUUCAAGGUUUUUGGGAUGGACAAGAAAUACUGGUUCAUUCCUGCUUAUUCAGAAGAAGAUAUACGAAGGAUGCCGACUCUACAAGGUCUCGAGUAUCCAUCAAAACCCGACUUCGAUUCCCAAUAGUUUAAAAACACAAAGGUCAUAUUUGGUUUAAGUUUAAUGCUUUCAUUUCUAGUUUCACUUUUAAUAACAAAACUUUCCCGGUUUUCAUUCCAUUCAUGGUUAUUUCGAAAACAUGUUUUUCUUUUCAUGUACAAAUCUUUAAAAAAAAUCCUUGCUUCCAGUCGCGUCUGAACGGCAAAAACAAGUGAUGCGUUGAGAGUUGUUAAGUUCACAAGCAAUGUUAGGGGUUGGAGCUGAUGCAGGUCUUUCCUCUUCAUCUCUUUGCAAAUUGCAGCCUCUCCUCUCACGUCUCACAACCUCUCUUCUCAGUUCUCUCAAGUUUUUGCAGGUCAAGUUUUUUGUCUCUUUUUUUCUUUUUUCCUCCCUAUUCUCUCUCCGUUUCUUCCAUUUGUUGGGGUUUUCCGCAGAUAUGCCUCCUGUUGCAACAUAGGAUUGCUUCCAUCAGUAGCAAGCAACAUCAAUGUCACAACCACUUUGACUUGGUUACUUUGAUUGAGUAAUGUCUUACUCUUAACAAUAUUGUUCUUUUCUUACUGGAUGCAGGUCAGCUAUGGUUAGACAUUACAUUAGAAUAAAGAAACUAGUACUGAAAACUCAAUUAAUUAAUACGGAAAAGUCAUCGAUGCUCGCUUUAAAACCAUUGGAUGCGGAUCCGCCAGUGCUUCCUCAUCCGUCGGUAGGUUAUUUUGUUUGUGUUGGUUAUUUAUAUAUCCAGUCAUUAUCGGGUUAAUCCGUGGUUUAAGCUUUGUCUUCGUUGUUAAACCGGUGAUUAAAAUAAAGCUGCUGAUUCUUACACUCUUUCCUAUACUCACAAAAGGCAAAACCCUAAUUUUCAUCUAGCUUCAAUCGGAGCCCGUGAGAAGAAGAUGCCUGCGAAGGAAGAUAGCUCGGAGAAGGAGAAGUCUCUAGAUCUCUUUCUAAAGAUCGGCUUAGACGAACGCACAGCUCGAAACACCAUCGCCAACAACAAAUUCACUACCAAUCUCACUGCUGUUAUCCACGAGGCCGGUGUUACCGACGGAUGCAGCCGAUCAAUUGGGAACCUUAUUUAUACGGUGAGUUACAUGUCUUCUGUUUUGCAUGCAACAAUAAGGAGCUGAAAUGCUUCAAGGUUUUGAGGAAACGAUAAUAAAUUAAUGGGUUUAACGUUGUUGUGUAGAUACUCAUACUGUAGCUCACUCAAGGAAUAGGUCUUCUAAGACAACUAGUGAUUUUGAUAGUCCCCGUUCUGUGUUUCUUGAACGGGCAUUUUUGUCAUAUUCUCGGAGGGGCACUAUCAACGGCUCGGUAUGGUUACUAUUUAUAUAUGUGGCUCUUUCUUGUAAUAAUUUCUUGUGUCUUGUUUUUUUGCAUACAGAAAACAAUUGCUUCUCCAGGACGUGGUAUUUUGGCCAUGGAUGAAUCCAAUGCUACAUGUGGAAAGCGGUUGGAUUCAAUUGGACUAGAGAAUACCGAAGCUAACCGUCAAGCAUGGCGUAAAAUUAUAUAUGAAGAAAGUGUUAUGACUUAGUUAAAAUAUAAUUUUUAUGUGUAUGAUUUUAUAAUACUUGAAAUAUUAUGACUGU